rnacentral:piRNA from 1 species
UGCUUUUCAGCCUGAAGCCUCAGCCCGC